rnacentral:rRNA from 1 species
UAGCAUGAAGUCAAACAAGAGA